AUGUCAAGUCAGCAUGGCUCUUACGAGGUGGGCUACAAACGUACUACAAUGACGCUUACAGAGGGCAGCGACGUCGCAAGACGGAGCCAAUCCUUAAAAAGCGCCUCAGUUCAGAUUGUCGUCUGCAACUCGACGGCAUGAAGUCGGAAUUACUAGUAAUCGCAGAUCAGCAUGCUGCGGUGAAUGCGUUCUCGGGUCUU
rnacentral:rRNA from 1 species